rnacentral:ribozyme from 1 species
UAGAAAAAGGAGAAGAAAAAGAAGUCCUACUGUUACUGUAGAAAUGGUUAACAUUGAUGAACAUGGACAGAAAUCCAACUUUUUCCUUUUUUGUUUUUAAAUCCUCGUUACUUUUUCCUUUUAAUUUUAUUUUGUAUUUUGGAUGAAUUUUCUAAAGA